CUGUGCCAGAACUGUGAAUGAGGGACAGAUUGUGCAGGAAAUGUCUCUUACCUGCGGUUGCUUGCUCAGAGAAUUGAACUCAAGGCCUUGUGCAUGCAAGGGACCAGGGUCAUUCCGGUUGUAGCUGUAGGCUUCUUCCAAGAGGAGUAGCAGCACCUGGACCCUGCUCAAAGGACCUUUUUUAGGGCCGUGAUUCUGGAGAACUACAACCACUUCAUCUCAGAGGGGUAUUGUGUCACCAAGACAGAGGCAAUCUGCAUGUUGGAGCAAGGAAAGGAGCCGAGGACAUUGGAAGAAUUUCUCAAGCCAGAGCCAUCCAGACAGAGCAAGACGAUUAUCUGCAAACCAAGAAGAAUGUCCUCACCAUAAUCUGACCAUGCAGGCCUCCUCAUCUCAAAC